AGAGUUUGAUCCUGGCUCAGGACGAACGCUGGCGGCGUGCCUAACACAUGCAAGUCGAGCGGAGACAGUGAGUAGCUUGCUAUGAGCUGUUUUAGCGGCGGACGGGUGAGUAACGCGUGAGCAACCUUUCCCAGACAGGGGAAUAACACACCGAAAGGUGUACUAAUACCGCAUAAGACCACGGAAUCACAUGGUUCUGAGGUAAAAGAUUUAUCGGUUUGGGGUGGGCUCGCGUCCGAUUAGGUAGUUGGUGAGGUAACGGCCCACCAAGCCGACGAUCGGUAGCCGACCUGAGAGGGUGAUCGGCCACAUUGGGACUGAGACACGGCCCAAACUCCUACGGGAGGCAGCAGUGGGGAAUAUUGCACAAUGGGGGAAACCCUGAUGCAGCGACGCCGCGUGAGUGAAGAAGUAUUUCGGUAUGUAAAGCUCUAUCAGCAGGGAAGAAAAUGACGGUACCUGACUAAGAAGCCCCGGCUAACUACGUGCCAGCAGCCGCGGUAAUACGUAGGGGGCAAGCGUUGUCCGGAAUAAUUGGGCGUAAAGGGCGCGUAGGCGGCUCGGUAAGUCUGGAGUGAAAGUCCUGCUUUUAAGGUGGGAAUUGCUUUGGAUACUGUCGGGCUUGAGUGCAGGAGAGGUUAGUGGAAUUCCCAGUGUAGCGGUGAAAUGCGUAGAGAUUGGGAGGAACACCAGUGGCGAAGGCGACUAACUGGACUGUAACUGACGCUGAGGCGCGAAAGUGUGGGGAGCAAACAGGAUUAGAUACCCUGGUAGUCCACACUGUAAACGAUGAAUGCUAGGUGUAGGGGGUAUCGACCCCUUCUGUGCCGCAGUCAACACAAUAAGCAUUCCGCCUGGGGAGUACGGCCGCAAGGUUGAAACUCAAAGGAAUUGACGGGGGCCCGCACAAGCAGCGGAGCAUGUGGUUUAAUUCGACGCAACGCGAAGAACCUUACCAGGUCUUGACAUCCACUUAAACUUACAGAGAUGUAAGGUGUGCUUGCACAAAGUGAGACAGGUGGUGCAUGGUUGUCGUCAGCUCGUGUCGUGAGAUGUUGGGUUAAGUC
rnacentral:rRNA from 1 species